rnacentral:rRNA from 1 species
CCUACGGGUGGCUGCAGUGGGGAAUAUUGCACAAUGGGCGCAAGCCUGAUGCAGCCAUGCCGCGUGUGUGAAGAAGGCCUUCGGGUUGUAAAGCACUUUCAGCGGGGAGGAAGGCGGUGAGGUUAAUAACCUCAUCGAUUGACGUUACCCGCAGAAGAAGCACCGGCUAACUCCGUGGCCAGCAGCCGCGGUAAUACGGAGGGUGCAAGCGUUAAUCGGAAUUACUGGGCGUAAAGCGCACGCAGGCGGUCUGUCAAGUCGGAUGUGAAAUCCCCGGGCUCAACCUGGGAACUGCAUUCGAAACUGGCAGGCUAGAGUCUUGUAGAGGGGGGUAGAAUUCCAGGUGUAGCGGUGAAAUGCGUAGAGAUCUGGAGGAAUACCGGUGGCGAAGGCGGCCCCCUGGACAAAGACUGACGCUCAGGUGCGAAAGCGUGGGGAGCAAACAGGAUUAGAUACCCCAGUAGUC